rnacentral:rRNA from 1 species
UACGAGGGGGGCGAGCGUUGUUCGGAAUUAUUGGGCGUAAAGGGUGCGUAGGCGGUCAUGUAAGUCAGCGGUGAAAUCCGGCAGCUCAACUGUCGAUGUGCCAUUGAUACUGCAUGACUUGAGUACUGAUGAGGUAGGCGGAAUUGACGGUGUAGCGGUGAAAUGCUUAGAUAUCGUCAAGAACACCGAUAGCGAAGGCAGCUUACUAAGCAGUAACUGACGCUGAUGCACGAAAGUGUGGGGAUCAAACAGG